CCUACGGGUGUCAGCAGUGAGGAAUAUUGGUCAAUGGGCGCGAGCCUGAACCAGCCAAGUAGCGUGAAGGAUGACUGCCCUACGUGUUGUAAACUUCUUUUAUAAAGGAAUAAAGUGCGGCCCGUUUGCCUUUUUGUAUGUACUUUAUGACUAAGCAUCGGCUAACUCCGUGCCAGCAGCCGCGGUAAUACGGGGGAUGCAAGCGUUAUCCGGAUUUAUUGGGUUUAAAGGGUGCGUAGGCUGUGAGGUAAGUCAGCGGUGAAAUUCCCCGGCUCAACGGGGUGAAGUGCCAUUGAUACUGGCUUGCUGGAGUGAGGAUGAAGUGGGAGGAAUGUGUGGUGUAGCGGUGAAAUGCAUAGAUAUCACACAGAACACCGAUUGCGAAGGCAUCUCACGAAUCCGCGAUUGACGCUGAUGCACGAAAGCGUGGGUAUCAAACAGGAUUAGAUACCCGAGUAGUC
rnacentral:rRNA from 1 species